GCCAGACUCCUACGGGAGGCAGCAGUGGGGGAUAUUGCACAAUGGGGGAAACCCUGAUGCAGCGACGCCGCGUGGGCGAAGAAGUAUUUCGGUAUGUAAAGCCCUAUCAGCAGGGAAGAAGAAAUGACGGUACCUGAGUAAGAAGCACCGGCUAAAUACGUGCCAGCAGCCGCGGUAAUACGUAUGGUGCAAGCGUUAUCCGGAUUUACUGGGUGUAAAGGGAGCGCAGGCGGCACGGCAAGCCUGAUGUGAAAGCCCGCGGCCCAACCGCGGGACUGCAUUGGGAACUACCGGGCUGGAGUGCCGGAGAGGUAGGCGGAAUUCCUAGUGUAGCGGUGAAAUGCGUAGAUAUCACGCAGAACUCCGAUUGCGAAGGCAGCAUACCGGCGCCCGACUGACGCUGAGGCACGAAAGCGUGGGGAUCGAACAGGAUUAGAUACCCCGGUAAG
rnacentral:rRNA from 1 species